rnacentral:rRNA from 1 species
AUGGCUGGUCUUGCCGCCUGCAACCCAGCCAAAAAGAAUGACCAUGGCCAUUGGAGGAAAGUUUGCAAGUCAUUGUUUCAAGAGAAGGUGGCUCCACUUACCCUGGAUGGAGUCACAAGGAUACUCGAUUACUGCUACAAUGAUUUGCCUCCAGAUCUCAAGACCUGCUCAUUGUACUUGAGCAUAUUUCUAAAGGGUUUGAAGAUUUGUACGAAGCGCCUGACCAGGAGAUGGAUAUCUGAAUGCUUUGUCACUGAGAAGCAAGGUCUGACAGCAGAGGAGGUCCCAGAAACAUACUUCAAUCAACUCAUAAGUAGGAAGAUAAUACGCCCUGUUGAUCACAACCGCAACGGCAAGGUAAAAUCCUUUAAAGUUCACGAUAUGAUUCUUGAAUAUAUCGUGUCCAAAGCAAGCCAGGAAAAUUUUAUCACUGUCGUCGGCGGGCACUGGUUGAUGCCAACUCCUAGCAACAAAGUCCGUCGACUCUCCAUGCAGAGUAGUGGUUCUUAA